UUUGAAUUUCACUGUAAGCAGGCCGUGCGUAAAAUACGUAGAACAAAUUUUAAUAUUUUAGCUUAGUUUCAAUUUCAGACUCAAGCCGACAUCCCAGAAAUUUCUAUAGAUCACCAUGUGCUGCCAGAGCCGCUACUACAGAGAAACACCCUGUGUCCAGUGCUGCCUUGUAGACUGCAGCUAUUGCUGUUAUCGCACCGCCUGUGAUGGACCCUGUGGCCCAUGUGCAACUGCUGCACCCGGUUGCUGUUGCGGAGCCGUUGGCGACUUAAAUUACAAAUACUCGUUCUUCGGACUGCAUUUGCUCUGAUGAUUCCCCAGCAGUAAUCAGCGAUAUUAUAAUAUCUGUGGCAGCAUGUGGUGAAUCAAAUUUUCUUUUUCAUUUUUUCAUCUAAUUUUCAGUUGUUUUGUGCAUUAAAUAAAACUUGCAGAAAUAAUUACUUA